rnacentral:rRNA from 1 species
GUGCUAUACAUGCAGUCGAGCGGACCGACGGGAGCUUGCUCCCUUAGGUCAGCGGCGGACGGGUGAGUAACACGUGGGUAACCUGCCUGUAAGACUGGGAUAACUCCGGGAAACCGGGGCUAAUACCGGAUGCUUGAUUGAACCGCAUGGUUCAAUCAUAAAAGGUGGCUUUUAGCUACCACUUACAGAUGGACCCGCGGCGCAUUAGCUAGUUGGUGAGGUAACGGCUCACCAAGGCGACGAUGCGUAGCCGACCUGAGAGGGUGAUCGGCCACACUGGGACUGAGACACGGCCCAGACUCCUACGGGAGGCAGCAGUAGGGAAUCUUCCGCAAUGGACGAAAGUCUGACGGAGCAACGCCGCGUGAGUGAUGAAGGUUUUCGGAUCGUAAAACUCUGUUGUUAGGGAAGAACAAGUACCGUUCGAAUAGGGCGGUACCUUGACGGUACCUAACCAGAAAGCCACGGCUAACUACGUGCCAGCAGCCGCGGUAAUACGUAGGUGGCAAGCGUUGUCCGGAAUUAUUGGGCGUAAAGCGCGCGCAGGCGGUUUCUUAAGUCUGAUGUGAAAGCCCCCGGCUCAACCGGGGAGGGUCAUUGGAAACUGGGGAACUUGAGUGCAGAAGAGGAGAGUGGAAUUCCACGUGUAGCGGUGAAAUGCGUAGAGAUGUGGAGGAACACCAGUGGCGAAGGCGACUCUCUGGUCUGUAACUGACGCUGAGGCGCGAAAGCGUGGGGAGCGAACAGGAUUAGAUACCCUGGUAGUCCACGCCGUAAACGAUGAGUGCUAAGUGUUAGAGGGUUUCCGCCCUUUAGUGCUGCAGCAAACGCAUUAAGCACUCCGCCUGGGGAGUACGGUCGCAAGACUGAAACUCAAAGGAAUUGACGGGGGCCCGCACAAGCGGUGGAGCAUGUGGUUUAAUUCGAAGCACGCGAAGAACUUUACAGUCUGACAUCUCUGACACCUAGAGAUAGGCUUCCCUUCGGGGCAGAGUGACAGUUGUUGCAUGAUGUCGUCAGCUCGUGUCCUGAGAUGGUGGUAGUUCCGCACGAGGCGCAUCAUGAAUCUAGUGGCAGCAUCAGUGGCACUCUAAGUGACUGCGUGACAUCGAGAGUGGAUGAC